rnacentral:rRNA from 1 species
GAUAAACGCUGGCGGCGUGCAUAACACAUGCAAGUCAAACGGGCGAGAAAGAGGUGCUUGCACCACUUUCAAGCAAGUGGCGGACGGGUGAGUAACGCGUGGAGAACCAACCUGGUGGAGGGGGACAACUUAGAGAAAUCUGAGCUAAUACCGCAUAAGCCUGUAUUGAGGCAUCUUGGUACAGGGAAAGGAGCAAUCCGCCACGAGACGGUUCCGCGUCUGAUUAGCUAGUUGGUAGGGUAAAGGCCUACCAAGGCGACGAUCAGUAGCCGAUCUGAGAGGAUGGACGGCCACAUUGGGACUGAGACACGGCCCAAACUCCUACGGGAGGCAGCAGUGGGGAAUAUUGCACAAUGGGCGCAAGCCUGAUGCAGCCAUGCCGCGUGUAUGAAGAAGGCCUUCGGGUUGUAAAGUACUUUCAGCGGGGAGGAAGGUGUUGAGGUUAAUAACCUCAGCGAUUGACGUUACCCGCAGAAGAAGCACCGGCUAACUCCGUGCCAGCCGCCGCGGUAAGAC